GAAGUUUGAAAUUAUCAAGGGCGAAAGAGAGUUAAUGCCUUUUGUUUUAUCUUCAUCAAAUCAAGAAGCAAACAAACAUGGAGGGUUUUUGAUGGCGCUCAGUGAAUCCUGAAAACGCCGUCGUUUUCUGGUUUCUCUGUAUUUAGAGUGAAUUGGAUAGAGAGGGAGGUGGAGGAGGAGAAGAUGAGCUGGAGAAGAGUGUUGAAGUCUGUACAGACUCUGGUUGCACAUAGCCUUCUCUUCACUUUCACGCUUUUGCUUGUUCUCAAGCUCGAUCACGUCGUUUCUUACUCGUGGUGGAUAGUCUUCUUCCCCAUUUGGACAUUUCAUGCAGUUAUUGCUCGGGGAAGAUUCUCGUUGCCUGCUCCAUCAGUUCCGCAUAACCGCCAUUGGGCUCCUUGCCAUGCCAUUGUUGCAACACCAUUGCUCGUUGCAUUUGAGCUUCUCCUUUGUACCUAUCUUGAGAGUAUUUAUGCUCAAGGUCUGCCAACUGUCGAUUUGAAGAUUGUCUUUCUCCCCCUUUUGGCAUUUGAAAUAGUUAUCCUAAUAGAUAAUUUCAGAAUGUGUAGAGCUCUUAUGCCAGCUGAAGAAGAAAGCAUGAACGAUGAAGCAAUAUGGGAGGCACUGCCUCACUUCUGGGUUGCAAUUUCCAUGGUCUUCUUUAUAGCUGCUACAGUAUUUACCCUCCUAAAGUUAUGCGGUUAUGUAGGUGCUCUUGGCUGGUGGGACCUGUUUAUAAAUUUUGGCAUUGCAGAAUGCUUCGCUUUUCUUGUUUGUACAAAGUGGUCUAAUCCUGUAAUUCAUCGAAAUCCUUCCACAGUACAAUCUAGCUCAUCUUCUAUGACUAUUAGAUAUCUUGACUGGAAUAGUGGCUUAGUAGUUGCUCCGGGGGAGGAUCAGAACCAGGAUAGACUGUGCAGCCUGUCAGAUAUUGGUGGCCACAUUAUGAAAGUUCCAAUAAUAGGAUUUGAAAUCCUCCUUUGUAUGCGUUUAGAGGGUACGCCUGCUGGUGCUAGAGAUAUACCAGUUCCUGUCCUGUUCUCUCCACUUUUCCUGCUGCAAGGUGCUGGUGUCCUAUUUGCUACAACUAGAUUGAUUGAGAAAAUUGUACUUUUAUUAGAGAGUGGAGCUGGCACAGGAAUAUUUUUUAGAUUUUCUGCAAGAGCUCAUGAUUGCUUGGGGUUCUUGCACCAUGGUUCCAGAGGAACAUUUUCCUCAUUUGGCUAUUUGAAAACAGGCUAUUGGGAUGGUGGUCAAUUGAUGAAGGCAGUCGAGAAGAACAGGCUCGACUUAUCCAUGAGAGUGCUUCUGGGUAUGACACUUUCUGUGGUUAUCCACCUGAAGUGGUGAAGAAAAUGGCCAAAAAGGAUCUUGCUGAAGAGGUAUGGAGACUCCAAGCAGUGCUCAGUGAGCAGACAGAGAAAUCAAAAUAUAGCAAGCGGGAGUUUGAAAGACUUCAAAACGAAAAAGUUUUAUGCAGAAUUUGCUUCGAGGCAGACAUCAGUGUAGUUCUUCUUCCAUGUCGGCAUCACAUCCUUUGCAGCACCUGCUGUGAUAAAUGUAAAAAAUGCCCAAUUUGCCGUGCCACUAUCGAGAAACGAUUAACUGUAUAUGAUGUUUAAUCUCUAACUUCCAGUCUAUUUUAAAGAACUGGACAGCCGGAAGGAGAUCAAAUAACAUCUUUAGGAAAAAUGGUUUUACAGUUUUUGCUAAAACUUUUACUUUAGUUAGUGUUGUUGAAUUGGGCAUAAAGCUAACUACAGGAAAUAUAGAAUGCAGCCACCACGAUUUAUACAUGGUCAGUUUCUAUCUUUUUUCUUAGAUUUCAGAGAUUGUAAAUAUAUUUAAAUUUUUAAGAUUUAAAGUAUUGUCCAUUGAGGUUGUAAAUUAGUUGCCCUGAAUAUGGGUUAACUUUUGCUUUGGUCUAUCGGGCCAUUACCGUUUGUCUUCCUCCCCUUAACCCUCUUUAAUCUAAUAAGCAUUACUGUUA